rnacentral:piRNA from 1 species
UCCGGAAGUGCUGGAAUUAUAGUCGUGAGC